UACGGGGGGGGCAAGCGUUGUUCGGAAUUACUGGGCGUAAAGGGCGCGUAGGCGGCCUGCUAAGUCGGACGUGAAAUCCCUCGGCUCAACCGGGGAACUGCGUCCGAUACUGGUGGGCUCGAAUCCGGGAGAGGGAUGUGGAAUUCCAGGUGUAGCGGUGAAAUGCGUAGAUAUCUGGAGGAACACCGGUGGCGAAGGCGGCAUCCUGGGCAGGAAGACACCGCAAGGUGUCGGCUGACGCUGAGGCGCGACAGCGUGGGGAGCAAACGAGG
rnacentral:rRNA from 1 species